rnacentral:rRNA from 1 species
UACGAAGGGUGCAAGCGUUACUCGGAAUUACUGGGCGUAAAGCGUGCGCAGGCGGCUUUGCAAGACAGAUGUGAAAUCCCCGGGCUCAACCUGGGAACUGCAUUUGUGACUGCAAGGCUGGAGUACGGUAGAGGGGGAUGGAAUUCCGCGUGUAGCAGUGAAAUGCGUAGAUAUGCGGAGGAACACCGAUGGCGAAGGCAAUCCCCUGGACCUGUACUGACGCUCAUGCACGAAAGCGUGGGGAGCAAACAGG